rnacentral:lncRNA from 1 species
AGCUUGAAGCUGCUUGGCCAUAGACAUCGGAUCCUGGCCUGGCCAUAUAAAUAGAUCAUAUACGUAGAAGGUCAUCUAACAAUUCAUCAGAAAAUGCAAAAGGAGGAAAUGUUUCUUGAAGAAUAUACUUACACAGCAGUUGAUGCAGGAGCAGCAGCAGGAGCAGGAGGAGAAGGGGUAGGAGCGGGGGCAGGAGCGGGUGUUGGGGCAGACCUAAAACAUAGAAAGCCAUCACAAGGAAGAUGCUUUCAUGAAAUGUUCUCUCUUCCCCAGAAAAGUUAAUGCAGAGAAUAUUAAACCGCAAG